CCUUUCCCUGUCAAGUCAUACAUAGAGUUCCAAAGUGCAGGGAAAUACAGAAGCGGGCGAAACAGGGGCGCAUUCCAGACGUUCCUGACUUCAGCCUUCUCGCAGCUAUCACCCGCUGAGACGCAGCUAGAAACACAGGCGCAGAACCUCAGGCUCCCACGAAGCCCAUCUUGAAAACGUGUGGAAGCUGACACGGCCCCUCCUCUGAACUUUGUCCCCAGCUGCCAGGCAGUCGCUCAGAGCAUGGGGAGAGAGGAAAGGCGCCUUUCACUCCAGACUCUGCCGACUUGAGGAGGCAGACUUUGGUCUGGGGGCCACUGAUGUAACCUCUUCUGGAUGGUCUUGUGCAAGCCUGCAGUGGUUCCGGGACCUUCUGAGCUCCUCGGUGGACUGGACCCCUCCCUGUGACUCUGC
rnacentral:lncRNA from 1 species